rnacentral:tRNA from 1 species
GGCCCAAUGGUCUAGUAGUAUGAUUCGCGCUUCGGGCUAUGCAAGCUGCGCGAGGUCCCGGGUUCAAUUCCCGGUUGGGCCC